rnacentral:tRNA from 1 species
ACUAAAUUGACAGAUUAAUGUAUCAAAUUUAGAAUUUGAAUAUGUCUAAAUGACAUUUAGUA